UAGUGGCGGACGGGUGAGUAACACGUGAGCAAUCUGCCUUUCAGAGGGGGAUACCGAUUGGAAACGAUCGUUAAUACCGCAUAACAUAAUUGAACCGCAUGAUUUGAUUAUCAAAGAUUUAUCGCUGAAAGAUGAGCUCGCGUCUGAUUAGCUAGUUGGUAAGGUAACGGCUUACCAAGGCGACGAUCAGUAGCCGGACUGAGAGGUUGAUCGGCCACAUUGGGACUGAGACACGGCCCAGACUCCUACGGGAGGCAGCAGUGGGGAAUAUUGCACAAUGGAGGAAACUCUGAUGCAGCGAUGCCGCGUGAGGGAAGAAGGUUUUAGGAUUGUAAACCUCUGUCUUCAGGGACGAAAAAAGACGGUACCUGAGGAGGAAGCUCCGGCUAACUACGUGCCAGCAGCCGCGGUAAUACGUAGGGAGCGAGCGUUGUCCGGAAUUACUGGGUGUAAAGGGAGCGUAGGCGGGAUCGCAAGUCAGAUGUGAAAACUAUGGGCUUAACCCAUAAACUGCAUUUGAAACUGUGGUUCUUGAGUGAAGUAGAGGUAAGCGGAAUUCCUAGUGUAGCGGUGAAAUGCGUAGAUAUUAGGAGGAACAUCAGUGGCGAAGGCGGCUUACUGGGCUUUAACUGACGCUGAGGCUCGAAAGCGUGGGGAGCAAACAGGAUUAGAUACCCUGGUAGUCCACGCCGUAAACGAUGAUUACUAGGUGUGGGGGGACUGACCCCUUCCGUGCCGCAGCAAACGCAAUAAGUAAUCCACCUGGGGAGUACGACCGCAAGGUUGAAACUCAAAGGAAUUGACGGGGGCCCGCACAAGCAGUGGAGUAUGUGGAUUAAUUCGAAGCAACGCGAAGAACCUUACCAGGUCUUGACAUCGUAUGCAUAGCUCAGAGAUGAGUGAAAUCUCUUCGGAGACAUAUAGACAGGUGGUGCAUGGUUGUCGUCAGCUCGUGUCGUGAGAUGUUGGGUUAAGUCCCGCAACGAGCGCAACCCUUACUGUUAGUUGCUACGCAAGAGCACUCUAGCAGGACUGCCGUUGACAAAACGGAGGAAGGUGGGGAUGACGUCAAAUCAUCAUGCCCCUUAUGACCUGGGCCUCACACGUACUACAAUGGCUGUCAACAGAGGGAAGCAAAGCCGCGAGGUGGAGCGAACCCCUAAAAGCAGUCUUAGUUCGGAUUGUAGGCUGCAACCCGCCUACAUGAAGUCGGAAUUGCUAGUAAUCGCAGAUCAGCAUGCUGCGGUGAAUACGUUCCCGGGCCUUGUACACACCGCCCGUCACGCCAUGGGAGUCG
rnacentral:rRNA from 1 species